rnacentral:ncRNA from 1 species
CAAAAGCCUGGUCCUGACUUUAACGUCAGUUGUAGCCCAACUUACACAUGCAAGUACCCGCACUCCUGUGAGAAUGCCCUUUAUUACCAAUAGGAAAAAAGGAGCAGGCAUCAGGCACACACCCCGUAGCCCAAGACGCCUUGCUUAGCCACACCCCCAAGGGAAAUCAGCAGUGACAAACAUUAGGCCAUGAGCGAAAGCUUGACUUAGCUAGGGCUAAAAGGGCCGGUAAAACUCGUGCCAGCAACCGCGGUUAUACGAGAGGCCCAAAUUGACGCACCACGGCGUAAAGUGUGAUUAGAGACAAAAAGAAACUAGGACCGAACGCCCCCUAUGCUGUCAUACGCUACGGAGGACACGAAGCCCGACAACGAAAGUGGCCCUAUGAGCCUUGAACUCACGACAGCUAAGACACAAACUGGGAUUAGAUACCCCACUAUGCUUGGCCUUAAACUAAGGUGAUAAUCUACACCCUUCACCCGCCAGGGAACUACGAGCCCCAGCUUAAAACCCAAGGGACUUGGCGGUGCCUCAAACCCACCUAGAGGAGCCUGUCCUAUAACCGAUAAUCCCCGUUAAACCUCACCCCUUCUUGCCAGUCCCGCCUAUAUACCGCCGUCGCCAGUUUACCUUAUGAAAGAACAACAGUAAGCAAAACGGGCAAUCCCCAACACGUCAGGUCGAGGUGUAGCGAAUGGAGGGGGAAGAGAUGGGCUACAUUCUCUGAAAACAGAACACUACGAAGGGCACAAUGAAAAAUGUGCAGUCGAAGGUGGAUUUAGCAGUAAAAAGGAAAAAGAGAGCCCUUUUGAAACCGGCCCUGAGGCGCGUACACACCGCCCGUCACUCUCCUCGAACAACGAAAUGACAGUAUAUAAGAACCUAGUAAAAUAGAGAGGAGGCAAGUCGUAACAUGGUAAGUGUACCGGAAGGUGCACUUGGAAUAAU